UCAUGACUUUCUUCCCCCUUAUUCACACAGAACAGUUGGAGACCCAUUAAUACUAUCUAGCAAAAGAAGCCACCUAGCAUCAUCAUUAAUGACGUUGCGUUCCACCAUGGGCUGUGGUGCUACUAGCGAUAACACACGGCAUUUCACAGCCACCCCAUACACUUUUAUUACUAUUCUAACCGACAACCUUUUUCUUAAGAAGGUUAGCUUUUUAUAUAUUUAAUAUGGCCACCUUUUGGCCAAUGGACACAACCUUUUGUAUGGAUUUAUGUAUGGAUACAACUCUAUGUAUG
rnacentral:misc_RNA from 1 species